rnacentral:rRNA from 1 species
GGGUUGUGAGGUUAAGCGACUAAGCGUACACGGUGGAUGCCCUGGCAGUCAGAGGCGAUGAAGGACGUGCUAAUCUGCGAUAAGCGUCGGUAAGGUGAUAUGAACCGUUAUAACCGGCGAUUUCCGAAUGGGGAAACCCAGUGUGAUUCGUCACACUAUCAUUAACUGAAUCCAUAGGUUAAUGAGGCGAACCGGGGGAACUGAAACAUCUAAGUACCCCGAGGAAAAGAAAUCAACCGAGAUUCCCCCAGUAGCGGCGAGCGAACGGGGAGCAGCCCAGAGCCUGAAUCAGUGUGUGUGUUAGUGGAAGCGUCUGGAAAGGCGUGCGAUACAGGGUGACAGCCCCGUACACAAAAAUGCACAUGCUGUGAGCUCGAUGAGUAGGGCGGGACACGUGGUAUCCUGUCUGAAUAUGGGGGGACCAUCCUCCAAGGCUAAAUACUCCUGACUGACCGAUAGUGAACCAGUACCGUGAGGGAAAGGCGAAAAGAACCCCGGCGAGGGGAGUGAAAAAGAACCUGAAACCGUGUACGUACAAGCAGUGGGAGCACGCUUAGGCGUGUGACUGCGUACCUUUUGUAUAAUGGGUCAGCGACUUAUAUUCUGUAGCAAGGUUAACCGAAUAGGGGAGCCGAAGGGAAACCGAGUCUUAACUGGGCGUUAAGUUGCAGGGUAUAGACCCGAAACCCGGUGAUCUAGCCAUGGGCAGGUUGAAGGUUGGGUAACACUAACUGGAGGACCGAACCGACUAAUGUUGAAAAAUUAGCGGAUGACUUGUGGCUGGGGGUGAAAGGCCAAUCAAACCGGGAGAUAGCUGGUUCUCCCCGAAAGCUAUUUAGGUAGCGCCUCGUGAAUUCAUCUCCGGGGGUAGAGCACUGUUUCGGCAAGGGGGUCAUCCCGACUUACCAACCCGAUGCAAACUGCGAAUACCGGAGAAUGUUAUCACGGGAGACACACGGCGGGUGCUAACGUCCGUCGUGAAGAGGGAAACAACCCAGACCGCCAGCUAAGGUCCCAAAGUCAUGGUUAAGUGGGAAACGAUGUGGGAAGGCCCAGACAGCCAGGAUGUUGGCUUAGAAGCAGCCAUCAUUUAAAGAAAGCGUAAUAGCUCACUGGUCGAGUCGGCCUGCGCGGAAGAUGUAACGGGGCUAAACCAUGCACCGAAGCUGCGGCAGCGACGCUUAUGCGUUGUUGGGUAGGGGAGCGUUCUGUAAGCCUGCGAAGGUGUGCUGUGAGGCAUGCUGGAGGUAUCAGAAGUGCGAAUGCUGACAUAAGUAACGAUAAAGCGGGUGAAAAGCCCGCUCGCCGGAAGACCAAGGGUUCCUGUCCAACGUUAAUCGGGGCAGGGUGAGUCGACCCCUAAGGCGAGGCCGAAAGGCGUAGUCGAUGGGAAACAGGUUAAUAUUCCUGUACUUGGUGUUACUGCGAAGGGGGGACGGAGAAGGCUAUGUUGGCCGGGCGACGGUUGUCCCGGUUUAAGCGUGUAGGCUGGUUUUCCAGGCAAAUCCGGAAAAUCAAGGCUGAGGCGUGAUGACGAGGCACUACGGUGCUGAAGCAACAAAUGCCCUGCUUCCAGGAAAAGCCUCUAAGCAUCAGGUAACAUCAAAUCGUACCCCAAACCGACACAGGUGGUCAGGUAGAGAAUACCAAGGCGCUUGAGAGAACUCGGGUGAAGGAACUAGGCAAAAUGGUGCCGUAACUUCGGGAGAAGGCACGCUGAUAUGUAGGUGAAGUCCCUCGCGGAUGGAGCUGAAAUCAGUCGAAGAUACCAGCUGGCUGCAACUGUUUAUUAAAAACACAGCACUGUGCAAACACGAAAGUGGACGUAUACGGUGUGACGCCUGCCCGGUGCCGGAAGGUUAAUUGAUGGGGUCAGCGCAAGCGAAGCUCUUGAUCGAAGCCCCGGUAAACGGCGGCCGUAACUAUAACGGUCCUAAGGUAGCGAAAUUCCUUGUCGGGUAAGUUCCGACCUGCACGAAUGGCGUAAUGAUGGCCAGGCUGUCUCCACCCGAGACUCAGUGAAAUUGAACUCGCUGUGAAGAUGCAGUGUACCCGCGGCAAGACGGAAAGACCCCGUGAACCUUUACUAUAGCUUGACACUGAACAUUGAGCCUUGAUGUGUAGGAUAGGUGGGAGGCUUUGAAGUGUGGACGCCAGUCUGCAUGGAGCCGACCUUGAAAUACCACCCUUUAAUGUUUGAUGUUCUAACGUUGACCCGUGAUCCGGGUUGCGGACAGUGUCUGGUGGGUAGUUUGACUGGGGCGGUCUCCUCCUAAAGAGUAACGGAGGAGCACGAAGGUUGGCUAAUCCUGGUCGGACAUCAGGAGGUUAGUGCAAUGGCAUAAGCCAGCUUGACUGCGAGCGUGACGGCGCGAGCAGGUGCGAAAGCAGGUCAUAGUGAUCCGGUGGUUCUGAAUGGAAGGGCCAUCGCUCAACGGAUAAAAGGUACUCCGGGGAUAACAGGCUGAUACCGCCCAAGAGUUCAUAUCGACGGCGGUGUUUGGCACCUCGAUGUCGGCUCAUCACAUCCUGGGGCUGAAGUAGGUCCCAAGGGUAUGGCUGUUCGCCAUUUAAAGUGGUACGCGAGCUGGGUUUAGAACGUCGUGAGACAGUUCGGUCCCUAUCUGCCGUGGGCGCUGGAGAACUGAGGGGGGCUGCUCCUAGUACGAGAGGACCGGAGUGGACGCAUCACUGGUGUUCGGGUUGUCAUGCCAAUGGCACUGCCCGGUAGCUAAAUGCGGAAGAGAUAAGUGCUGAAAGCAUCUAAGCACGAAACUUGCCCCGAGAUGAGUUCUCCCUGACUCCUUGAGAGUCCUGAAGGAACGUUGAAGACGACGACGUUGAUAGGCCGGGUGUGUAAGCGCAGCGAUGCGUUGAGCUAACCGGUACUAAUGAACCGUGAGGCUUAACCUUACAACGCCGAAGCUGUU